rnacentral:rRNA from 1 species
AACGAACGCUGGCGGCAUGCCUAACACAUGCAAGUCGAACGAGACCUUCGGGUCUAGUGGCGCACGGGUGCGUAACGCGUGGGAACCUGCCCUUAGGUUCGGAAUAACUCCCCGAAAGGGGUGCUAAUACCGGAUAAUGUCUUCGGACCAAAGAUUUAUCGCCUUUGGAUGGGCCCGCGUUGGAUUAGCUAGUUGGUAGGGUAAAAGCCUACCAAGGCGACGAUCCAUAGCUGGUCUGAGAGGAUGAUCAGCCACACUGGGACUGAGACACGGCCCAGACUCCUACGGGAGGCAGCAGUGGGGAAUAUUGGACAAUGGGCGAAAGCCUGAUCCAGCAAUACCGCGUGAGUGAUGAAGGCCUUAGGGUUGUAAAGCUCUUUUACCCGGGACGAUAAUGACAGUACCGGGAGAAUAAGCUCCGGCUAACUCCGUG